rnacentral:rRNA from 1 species
CGUGUGGGCGGUUAUGUAAGUCAGAUGUGAAAUCCUUCCGCUUAACGGGAGAAGUGCAUUUGAAACUGCAUGACUGGAGUACGGGAGAGGAGAGUGGAAUUCCCGGUGUAGAGGUGAAAUUCGUAGAUAUCGGGAGGAACACCAGUGGCGAAGGCGGCUCUCUGGCCUGAUACUGACGCUGAGACGCGAAAGCGUGGGGAGCAAACAGGAUUAGAUACCCUGGUAGUCCACGCCGUAAACGAUGGGCACUAGGUGUAGGAGGUAUUGACCCCUUCUGUGCCGAAGCUAACGCAUUAAGUGCCCCGCCUGGGGAGUACGGCCGCAAGGUUAAA